GAUGAACGCUGGCGGCGUGCCUAAUACAUGCAAGUCGAGCGAACAGACGAGGAGCUUGCUCCCCUGACGUUAGCGGCGGACGGGUGAGUAACACGUGGAUAACCUACCUAUAUGACUGGGAUAACUUCGGGAAACCGGAGCUAAUACCGGAUAAUAUAUUGAACCGGAUGGUUCAAUAGUGAAAGACGGUUUUGCUGUCACUUAUAGAUGGAUCCGCGCCGCAUUAGCUAGUUGGUAAGGUAACGGCUUACCAAGGCAACGAUGCGUAGCCGACCUGAGAGGAUGAUCGGCCACACUGGAACUGAGACACGGUCCAGACUCCUACGGGAGGCAGCAGUAGGGAAUCUUCCGCAAUGGGCGAAAGCUUGACGGAGCAACGCCGCGUGAGUGAUGAAGGUCUUCGGAUCGUAAAGCUCUGUUAUUAGGGAAGAACAAAUGUGUGAGUAACUAUGCACGUCUUGACGGUACCUAAUCAAAAAGCCACGGCUAACUGCGUG
rnacentral:rRNA from 1 species